GACGAACGCUGGCGGCGUGCUUAACACAUGCCAGUCGAACGGAAAGGCCCUGCUUUUGUGGGGUGCUCGAGGGGCGAACGGGUGAGUAACACGUGAGUAACCUGCCCUUGACUUUGGGAUAACUUCAGGAAACUGGGGCUAAUACCGGAUAGGAGCUCCUGCUGCAUGGUGGGGGUGGGAAAGUUUCGGCGGUUGGGAAUGGACUCGCGGAUUAUGAGCUUGGUGGUGGGGUAGUGGCUUACCAAGGCUUUGACGGGUAGCCGGGCUGAUAGGGUGACCGGCCACACUGGGAUGGGGAUGCGGCACAGACUCCUAUGGUACGCAGCAGUGGAGAAUAGUGUACAAGGGGCGGAAGCCUGAUGCAGCAACGCCGCGUGCGGGAUGACGGCCUUCGGGUUGUAUAGCGCUUUCGCCUGUGACGAAGCGUGAGUGACGGUAAUGGGUAAAGAAGCACCGGCUAACUCCGUG
rnacentral:rRNA from 1 species